rnacentral:rRNA from 1 species
ACGCUCGACACCUACGGGAGCAGCAGUAGGGAAUCUUCCACAAUGGGCGCAAGCCUGAUGGAGCAACACCGCGUGAGUGAAGAAGGGUUUCGGCUCGUAAAGCUCUGUUGUUGGAGAAGAACGUGCGUGAGAGUAACUGUUCACGCAGUGACGGUAUCCAACCAGAAAGUCACGGCUAACUACGUGCCAGCAGCUGCGGUAAUCUGGAGCGGGCUGGCAAGGC